AAUUUGGGGAAGUCAUUAAAAACUCAUUCAACUUUGAGGCUUUUGGUUGAUUUUCCCAGUUGAGCUGAGGCCAUGGAGACAAGAGGACAUCUGUGGACAGGAAGCCAGGCCAACAAGGUAGCCCAGAGCUCUUCAAUAAAGCAAACAAAUCAGGGCUUUGGGAGGUGGCAGAAAGGAAACGAGCAGAGUCCCACCCUAAGCCCAUCUUCCAGGCAGCCCAGAAAGCAGAAGACAGAGCCAUGUGUUCACUGGCCCAGGAGUGACAGCCUACUACACAGAUCGGAGGAAACAAAUGUGAAGAUGUUCAAAAAUCCAAAGCCAAGACGAAGGGGCUAUUCUCAACCUAUUGACCACAUCACAAGAAUGAAGACCCAGAUGACCACACCCCGGCCUCUUCUUCACAGAAAUAACUCAUGAAAUACCAUAUCCUCUAUAAACUCUUUCCUCUUUCAGAAAACUGCUCAUUUGAUCCCAUCCCAGAUGGCCUACAUGUAGCUUCUCCACCAAAUUUCUCAUCACACCAUGCCUUGGUUUGCUGCACAUUUAUAACGGCAAAUUUGCUUCAAGCAUGUUCACUUUAUUAGUCAUUUACUCAAGUGCACAUCUGUGGGAUAUAUUGUGUGCAUUCUGACUUAUGACAAACCACAAGGAUAUUGGGUACAUGCCUCACUAGCUCAGCAUGUGUAUUUUCUAAUAGUGUCUCUAUGUAAUAAAUGUUCUAUAGUUUCAAAAAAAUAAUGAGUGGAAAUAUGCACAAAUCAUAAAGGGCAGGCUCUGAUCAUCCUUUUUGACUCUUACAGCCAAGUUUUUAUGAGUCUAUUUGCAAAGGAGUAUGUCUCUUUAAUUUUUCUAUAAGUUUUUUCCUCUUUUUUCAAAAUAAAAGUCUCAAGAGCAGUAAAUCCUAUUAUUUUUUAAAUAAAAGAAAAAACUAUGGUCAAAAAUGUGUUGUUUC
rnacentral:lncRNA from 1 species